rnacentral:lncRNA from 1 species
UGGGUGUGGAGGAUGGUGAUUUUAAAUAGACUGUUCAAUGUAGUUCUCACUAAGAAAGUCACAUUUAAAAGUGGUCUUGAAGGUAGUUAUGAAGUUAACUUUGUGGAUAUCCGGGGAAAGAUUAUUCCAAAGAAAAUAAUUAGCCAGUCGAAUGGAAAAAAAUGCUUGCCAGUUUUGAGGAAAAACAAGGAGCCCAGAAUAAUCUAAUUGAAAUGAGUGAAAGAAAUGAGAAUAAUUUAUCAGAGAAAUACCGGGAAUCUGAUCUGACAGGUCCUUAGAGGCCACUGUGAGGACUACGUCUCAAUGCAAAUGAACAAUUGGUAAGUUCUGAAAAGAGAACUGAGAUGUCCAAACUUAGCUAGUUAAAAAAAGAAGCAUACCUGCUCUGUAUUUGGUUGAAAAUAGAUGGCAGGAGCGGAAGCUAGUGAGAAGAAACACUUAGAAGAACACUGCAAUAAUCCAAGUAUGGGUAUUAGACCAGCAUUGUAGCAGGAGAUAUGAUGAAAAGACAUUGUAUAUCAGUUAAAUUUUGAAGGUAUCACUAGUAGGAUUUUCUACAGUAUUAGAUAUGGAAGAUAACAUAAUGAAAUAAAUGAAGAUUGACUGCUUGGUUUAUGGCCUGGACAAUUAGAAGGAUAGAGCUGACAUUAACGAAGAUGGGGGAAGUUGAGUAACGACAGGAGCGAAAAUUAGUAGUUAAAAUUUGGACAUGUUACUUUUGACAUGUUUAUUCAAGUAGAAAUUUAGAAUAGUUGGAUAUAUGUUCGGAUUAUUAGAUAGAGGUGAAAGUGGGAGGCAUAAAAUCAGAAAAUUUCAAUCUAUAUCUUAGAUACAGAUAUAGAUAUAGACGUGUAUAGUAACAUGGAAAAUUGCUAAGAAUACCGAGGACCUGAAUUUAACUAGAAAAGAAAAAAGCCUGGACAACUCUAAAACAGAGAGCAAGAAAAGAAGAGAAAGAACCAGUAAAGAAGACUGGGUAAAGUUAAAGAACAACCAACAGAAUAAAGAAUCCUGGAGGCUAAUUAUGAUACUUGUGCCAAACUGAAAGGAAUGAUCAAUAUCCACCACUGACUAAGACACUAACAGGGAGCAGAACCAUUGUCUACAUAUCUGUUAAAUCAUGAGAGAUCUGAAAUAAGACAAACAACAUAGAACAGUGGAAUUGAUUUUGAAAAACGAGGUACUAUUAAACUGCUUUAUGCAAAGCUAAAAUGGGAGCCUCUACUUCUAGCCUUGACCAGAAAGUCAGAAAAGAGAAUGUGUACUUUAUGAUUCC